UAGAAGACAAAUAAGAGAUCUUUAUCAGAAAUACUAUGCGGGAUUCAAAACAAAAUUGUAUAGAGUUUUGUAAUUCAACUAUAAAUAGAUAAGAGAGGUCAAUUGUAUAGGCAUCUUUUGUUUAUGAAUUAUAACUUAGCUUUCUUUUUAGUUUUCCUUUAACUUUUGUAAUAUCCUUUUAGCCUUCCGCUCAUACUCUUUGUAACCCUGCUCAUCUUCUCCCCCAGAAUUGGUAUCAGAGGUGUUGGUGUAACGAUUUCUUGGAGAAAUAAUAUCAUAGUGUUCAUUGUAUGUAUAGUUAGAUUGAGGAAUGAAACCUGUGGACGUUAGUGUCUCAAGACUUAGACCCACGGUGAUGAAUAUUCAGUUGAAUAUCUUCUUGCAUAAGUCACUUUCUUGAUGGGAGACAAUGGUUUCAAAAGAGAUGCAACAAUAGUGGGGACAAUGGGUUAGAGCUUCCAUUUUCAUCAAUGGAGAGUGGAGCCAUGAUCGUCUUUAAUGUAAAGCUGUUAAAUUCUUUGUUAACUGCUUCGUUUUUUUUUCAAUGGGCAUGUAGGUUGUUGUAGACGGUUUAACAUUUUCACAUGACAGCAGCAGCAGCAGCAGCAGCUCUUCCCUUCAAUGUUUAUGGUAUAAAUGGAUGGCUACUACUAUAUAAAGUAUAAAUUGGUAUAUGUGUUUGCUUUUAAAUGGUUGGGAUCAUUAUGGAUUUUGGUUUGUUUUUCAAAUGUGUUUGUGUUACUUUGAUGAUAGCCGGGUUCUCUUCGAUUUUCUGUUUGGUUAAGGAAAAUGCGUUCCACAUUGUUAAAAUCCUAUAAAUUUUAAACAAUUCAUCAUGCAAAUGUACUAGCAAAUAAUCAUCAUACAUGCAAAUAUAAUAAUUUAAUUAAAGAUUAUGAUAUAAGAUUUAUUCAUAAUUUAUUAAGUAAUUAAAUAACUAAUGUGUAGAAUUUACUUAAUUAUAAAAUAUAUAAUUUUGAAGUAAAUAAUAAAAAUAGAUAAUUUUUUUAAAAUAUUAAAUUAAUCAGAUUUAUGAUAAUCAUGAUUCUCGC
rnacentral:lncRNA from 1 species